UAGCACUCAGGGUGGGGGGAGUAUUUAGAGUGGCAGCAGAGUAGAGCAGAGCUGAGCCACACUCAUCGUGCCACACUCAGUCAUGGACAAACGCACGAGGAGGUUCACCCUGGGUAGGAGAGAAGUUCUGGGACACUGCUGAUGAAGCCAUCAUCUAUGAGGACUACGAUGAAGAUCAAGACUGCUUGUGCUGGAUCUCCUACAUCUGUUUGGAUCAGUAGAACUCCUAAAAUGCUCAUUUACUCAUUGGAUCAUAUUCUUGUCUGUUCUUUGUGAUACUUUUUCUGCACUUGUGUAGUGUCCUUUGCUCUCUUAAAAAGUUAAAUAUAAAUAUAAGCUCUUGUUCUUAUUAUUAUUAGCAUUAUUAUCAUUGCAUUCUUAUGUGUUGACAAACACACAAAGAGCUUACACAUUCACCCUUUUGAACACCUUUUCAUUUAUUUUACAGUGAUGAAACUGUUUAAUACUCAAUAGUGAAUAAAGAAGCCUGUUUGAUUUAA